UGGGCAUGCGGCGCAUUAGCUUGACGGCGGGGUAACGGCCCACCGUGGCGACGAUGCGUAGGGGUUCUGAGAGGAAGGUCCCCCACACUGGAACUGAGACACGGUCCAGACUCCUACGGGAGGCAGCAGUGAGGAAUAUUGGUCAAUGGGCGGAAGCCUGAACCAGCCAAGUCGCGUGAGGGAAUAAGGCCCUACGGGUCGUAAACCUCUUUUGCCGGGGAGCAAGGGCCGGGACGUGUCCCGGCCCGGAGAGUACCCGGAGAAAAAGCAUCGGCUAACUCCGUGCCAGCAGCCGCGGUAAUACGGAGGAUGCGAGCGUUAUCCGGAUUUAUUGGGUUUAAAGGGUGCGUAGGCGGGCUUUUAAGUCAGCGGUAAAAAUUCGGGGCUCAACCCCGUCCGGCCGUUGAAACUGGGGGCCUUGAGUGGGCGAGAAGAAGGCGGAAUGCGUGGUGUAGCGGUGAAAUGCAUAGAUAUCACGCAGAACCCCGAUUGCGAAGGCAGCCUUCCGGCGCCCUACUGACGCUGAGGCACGAAAGUGCGGGGAUCGAACAGGAUUAGAUACCCUGGUAGUCCGCACAGUAAACGAUGGAUGCCAGCUGUCCGGGCCGAAUGGGGCCUGGGUGGCAAAGCGAAAGCGUUAAGCAUCCCACCUGGGGAGUACGCC
rnacentral:rRNA from 1 species